rnacentral:rRNA from 1 species
UCGGGAAUUUUGGGCAAUGGGCGAAAGCCUGACCCAGCAACGCCGCGUGAGGGAUGAAGUAUUUCGGUAUGUAAACCUCGAAAGAAUGGGAAGAAUAAAUGACGGUACCAUUUAUAAGCUCCGGCUAACUACGUGCCAGCAGCCGCGGUAAUACGUAGGGAGCAAGCGUUGUUCGGAUUUACUGGGCGUAAAGGGCGCGUAGGCGGCGCGGUAAGUCACUUGUGAAAUCUCUGAGCUUAACUCAGGACGGCCAAGUGAUACUGCUGUGCUAGAGUGCGGAAGAGNCAACCGGAAUUCUCGGUGUAGCGGUGAAAUGCGUAGAUAUCAAGAGGAACACCUGAGGCGAAGGCGGGUUGCUGGGCCGACACUGACGCUGAUGCGCGAAAGCCAGGGGAGCAAACG